ACUGCCCCUUGAGGCGUUGCAGCUCAGCUGCUGGUGCUGAAGCUGUGUCAGAAGGUGGCAGAGAGAGACUGGUGGUGAUCUGCACUGAGACUAGAACCUCUAACCCUGGACUCGGUCGUUUUCCACCACCCACAGU